rnacentral:rRNA from 1 species
UGGGGAAUCUUGGACAAUGGGCGCAAGCCUGAUCCAGCCAUGCCGCGUGAGCGAUGAAGGCCUUAGGGUUGUAAAGCUCUUUCACCGGUGAAGAUAAUGACGGUAGCCGGAGAAGAAGCCCCGGCUAACUCCGUGCCAGCAGCCGCGGUAAUACGGAGGGGGCUAGCGUUGUUCGGAAUUACUGGGCGUAAAGCGCGCGUAGGCGGACUGAUCAGUCAGGGGUGAAAUCCCGGGGCUCAACCCCGGAACUGCCUUUGAUACUGUCAGUCUUGAGUCCGGAAGAGGCGAGUGGAAUACCGAGUGUAGAGGUGAAAUUCGUAGAUAUUCGGUGGAACACCAGUGGCGAAGGCGACUCGCUGGUCCGGUACUGACGCUGAGGUGCGAAAGUGUGGGGAGCAAACAGGAUUAGAUACCCUGGUAGUCCACACCGUAAACGAUGAAUGCCAGUCGUCGGUAGCAUGCUAUUCGGUGACACACCUAACGGAUUAAGCAUUCCGCCUGGGAGUACGGUCGCAAGAUUAAAAGCUCAAA